GUGCUGGCUUUAGCAGCACAUAUACUAAAAUUGGAAUGAUAUGCAGAAUAUUACAUGGUCCCUGUGCAAAAUGAUAGGCAUAUUUGGAUGCAUUCCAAACUUUA
ensembl:snRNA U6 U6 spliceosomal RNA